UACGGAGGAUGCAAGCGUUAUCCGGAUUCAUUGGGUUUAAAGGGUGCGUAGGCGGACUAUUAAGUCAGUGGUGAAAGCCUGCAGCUUAACUGCAGAACUGCCAUUGAUACUGAUAGUCUUGAGUUUGGUUAAGGUAGGCGGAAUGUGUAAUGUAGCGGUGAAAUGCUAAGAUAUUACACAGAACACCAAUUGCGUAGGCAGCUUACUGAGCCGACACUGACGCUGAGGCACGAAAGCGUGGGGAUCGAACA
rnacentral:rRNA from 1 species